CACGGGCUGCAGCAGCACUACGUCAAGCUGAAGGACACCGAGAAGAACCGCACGCAAGCUCUUUGACCUCCUGGACGUGCUGGAGUUCAACCAGGUGA
rnacentral:miRNA from 1 species